rnacentral:rRNA from 2 species
GGGUUGUGAGGUUAAGCGACUAAGCGUACACGGUGGAUGCCCUGGCAGUCAGAGGCGAUGAAGGGCGUGCUAAUCUGCGAUAAGCGCCGGUAAGGUGAUAUGAACCGUUAUAACCGGCGAUACCCGAAUGGGGAAACCCAGUGUGACUCGUCACACUAUCAUUAACUGAAUCCAUAGGUUAAUGAGGCGAACCGGGGGAACUGAAACAUCUAAGUACCCCGAGGAAAAGAAAUCAACCGAGAUUCCCCCAGUAGCGGCGAGCGAACGGGGAGGAGCCCAGAGCCUGAAUCAGCAUGUGUGUUAGUGGAAGCGUCUGGAAAGGCGCGCGAUACAGGGUGACAGCCCCGUACACAAAAGCGCAUGUGCUGUGAGCUCGAUGAGUAGGGCGGGACACGUGGUAUCCUGUCUGAAUAUGGGGGGACCAUCCUCCAAGGCUAAAUACUCCUGACUGACCGAUAGUGAACCAGUACCGUGAGGGAAAGGCGAAAAGAACCCCGGCGAGGGGAGUGAAAAAGAACCUGAAACCGUGUACGUACAAGCAGUGGGAGCCCCACCACCAAAGCAUUUGCUGUACCGCGUUGACGGAGCGAAGCGACGUCAAACCGAUAAAACAGCAGUGUAAAGUGAGCCGCAGGGCGCUUUGCGCGACAGCGCAAAGGCAGGCGGUUU